rnacentral:rRNA from 1 species
AUUGAACGCUGGCGGCAGGCCUAACACAUGCAAGUCGAGCGGAUGAAGGGAGCUUGCUCCUGGAUUCAGCGGCGGACGGGUGAGUAAUGCCUAGGAAUCUGCCUGGCAGUGGGGGCUAACGUCCGGAAACGGGCGCUAAUACCGCAUACGUCCUGAGGGAGAAAGUGGGGGAUCUUCGGACCUCACGCUAUCAGAUGAGCCUAGGUCGGAUUAGCUAGUUGGUGGGGUAAAGGCCUACCAAGGCGACGAUCCGUAACUGGUCUGAGAGGAUGAUCAGUCACACUGGAACUGAGACACGGUCCAGACUCCUACGGGAGGCAGCAGUGGGGAAUAUUGGACAAUGGGCGAAAGCCUGAUCCAGCCAUGCCGCGUGUGUGAAGAAGGUCUUCGGAUUGUAAAGCACUUUAAGUUGGGAGGAAGGGCAGUAAGUUAAUACCUUGCUGUUUUGACGGUACCAACAGAAUAAGCACCGGCUAACUUCGUG